AACGAACGCUGGCGGCAUGCCUAACACAUGCAAGUCGAACGAGACCUUCGGGUCUAGUGGCGCACGGGUGCGUAACGCGUGGGAACCUGCCCUUAGGUUCGGAAUAACUCCCCGAAAGGGGUGCUAAUACCGGAUAAUGUCUUCGGACCAAAGAUUUAUCGCCUUUGGAUGGGCCCGCGUUGGAUUAGCUAGUUGGUAGGGUAAAAGCCUACCAAGGCGACGAUCCAUAGCUGGUCUGAGAGGAUGAUCAGCCACACUGGGACUGAGACACGGCCCAGACUCCUACGGGAGGCAGCAGUGGGGAGUAUUGGACAAUGGGCGAAAGCCUGAUCCAGCAAUGCCGCGGGAGUGAUGAAGGCCUUAGGGUUGUAAAGCUCUUUUACCCGGGAUGAUAAUGACAGUACCGGGAGAAUAAGCUCCGGCUAACUCCGUG
rnacentral:rRNA from 1 species